UAUAUACUUCCUCCGUCCCAAAAUUCUUGUCUUAGAUUUGUCUAAAUACGGAUGUAUCAAGUCACGUUUUAGUAUUAGAUACAUCCGUAUCUAGACAAAUCUAAGACAAGAAUUUUGGGACGGAGGGAGUACUUC
rnacentral:pre_miRNA from 1 species